rnacentral:rRNA from 1 species
CCUACGGGAGGCUGCAGUGAGGAAUAUUGGUCAAUGGACGAGAGUCUGAACCAGCCAAGUAGCGUGAAGGAUGACUGCCCUAUGGGUUGUAAACUUCUUUUAUAUGGGAAUAAAACGUUCCACGUGUGGGAUUUUGUAUGUACCAUAUGAAUAAGGAUCGGUUAACUCCGUGCCAGCAGCCGCGGUAAUACGGAGGAGCCGAGCGUUAUCCGGAUUUAUUGGGUUUAAAGGGAGCGUAGGUGGAUUGUUAAGUCAGUUGUGAAAGUUUGCGGCUCAACCGUAAAAUUGCAGUUGAAACUGGCAGUCUUGAGUACAGUAGAGGUGGGCGGAAUUCGUGGUGUAGCGGUGAAAUGCUUAGAUAUCACGAAGAACUCCGAUUGCGAAGGCAGUUCACUGGACUGCAACUGACACUGAGGCUCGAAAGUGUGGGUAUCAAACAGGAUUAGAUACCCUUGUAGUC